CCGGCACGGGUGAGUAACACGUAUGCAAUCCACCUGUAACAGGGGGAUAACCCGGAGAAAUCCGGACUAAUACCCCAUAAUAUGGGCGCUCCGCAUGGAGAGUCCAUUAAAGAGAGCAAUUUUGGUUACAGACGAGCAUGCGCUCCAUUAGCCAGUUGGCGGGGUAACGGCCCACCAAAGCGACGAUGGAUAGGGGUUCUGAGAGGAAGGUCCCCCACAUUGGAACUGAGACACGGUCCAA
rnacentral:rRNA from 1 species